rnacentral:rRNA from 1 species
AUUGAACGCUGGCGGCAGGCCUAACACAUGCAAGUCGAGCGAGCGGCGGACGGGUGAGUAAUGUCUGGGAAACUGCCUGAUGGAGGGGGAUAACUCCUGGAAACGGUAGCUAAUACCGCAUACCAUCAGAUGUGCCCAGAUGGGAUUAGCUAGUAGGUGGGGUAACGGCUCACCUGGGCGACGAUCCCUAGCUGGUCUGAGAGGAUGACCGUCCACACUGGAACUGAGACACGUUCCAGACUCCUACGGUGGGCAGCAGUGGGGAAUAUUGCACAAUGGGCGCAAGCCGGAUGCAGCCAUGCCGCGUGUAUGAAGAAGGCCGUCGGGUUGUAAAGUACUGUCAGCGGGGAGGCGUUACCCGCAGAAGAAGCACCGGCUAACUCCGUGCCAGCAGCCGCGGUAAUUC